CCUACGGGGGGCAGCAGUGGGGAAUAUUGGACAAUGGGCGAAAGCCUGAUCCAGCCAUGCCGCGUGUGUGAAGAAGGCCUUCGGGUUGUAAAGCACUUUCAGUGGGGAAGAAAGCCUUGGGGCUAAUACCCUCGAGGAAGGACAUCACCCACAGAAGAAGCACCGGCUAACUCCGUGCCAGCAGCCGCGGUAAUACGGAGGGUGCGAGCGUUAAUCGGAAUUACUGGGCGUAAAGCGCGCGUAGGCGGUCUGAUAAGCCGGUUGUGAAAGCCCCGGGCUCAACCUGGGAACGGCAUCCGGAACUGUCAGGCUAGAGUGCAGGAGAGGAAGGUAGAAUUCCCGGUGUAGCGGUGAAAUGCGGAGAGCUCGGGAGGAAUACCAGUGGCGAAGGCGGCCUUCUGGACUGACACUGACGCUGAGGUGCGAAAGCGUGGGUAGCAAACAGGAUUAGAUACCCGAGUAGUC
rnacentral:rRNA from 1 species